rnacentral:misc_RNA from 1 species
GAUGAAGAACGUAGUGAAAUGCGAUAAGUAAUGUGAAUUGCAGAAUUCAGUGAAUCAUCGAAUCUUUGAACGCAUCUUGCGCUCCUUGGUAUUCCGAGGAGCAUGCCUGUUUGAGUGUCAUUUUAACUUCUCAACCAUAUCGAAUUGCUUUUCGAGGUGGCUUGGACAUGGGGGUUUUUGCAGGCUUUAAUAAUGAAGUCGGCUCCUCUGAAAUGCAUUAGUGGUAUCUGAAGCAGAACUGCUACUAUUAGGUGUGAUAAUUAUCUAUGCCUCUUGGUAUACUGCAUGAACAGAUUGCGCUGCUUCCAACUUGUACACCCUUUGGUGUUUGACAAAUUUGACCUCAAAUCAGGUAGGACUACCCGCUGAACUUAAGCAUAUCAAUAAGCGGAGGA